rnacentral:ribozyme from 1 species
UCUGCAGCUCCACUCAUACUUUUUAUUUUCUCUUUCUUUCUCCUACCAAAAAAGAUGAUAAUGGAAUAUUGGUGAUAUAAUCAGGAAGGACGAUCC